CCUACGGGUGGCAGCAGUGAGGAAUAUUGGUCAAUGGGCGCAAGCCUGAACCAGCCAAGUAGCGUGAAGGAUGACUGCCCUACGGUUUGUAACCUUCUUUUAUAAAGGAAUAAAGUGAGGCACGUAUGCCUUUUUGUGUGUACUUUAUGAAUAAGGAUCGGCUAACUCCGUGCCAGCAGCCGCGGUCAUCCGGCGGAUCCGAGCGUUAUCCGGAUUUAUUGGGUUUAAAGGGAGCGUAGAUGGGUUGGUAAGUCAGUUGUGAAAGUUUGCGGCUCAACCGUAAAAUUGCAAUUGAUACUGGCAGUCUUGAGUACAGGUGAGGUAGGCGGAAUUCGUGGUGUAGCGGUGAAAUGCGUAGAUAUCACGAAGAACUCCGAUUGCGAAGGCAGCUUACUAAACCGCGACUGACAUUGAUGCGCGAAAGUGUGGGUAUCAAACAGGAUUAGAUACCCCUGUAGUC
rnacentral:rRNA from 1 species